UCUAAUUUAUGGCAAAGAUAAUUUUUGAACGUUUGGUACUACCAUCUGACCUCUUGCUUACAGCCUGACGUCUUUGUUCUCGUUAGCUUCAUAAAUACCUCGGCUAAUUCGCGCACAGCGCAUAACUUAGAUGAAUAUUCAGGAGACAAUCAUGUCUAAAGCAACUGGUACAGUUAAAUUUUUCAACGAAUCAAAAGGUUUUGGCUUCAUCGUACAAGACAACGGCGGUGCCGAUGUAUUCGUACACUUCAGCGCAAUCCAAACUGAAGGCUUCAAAACCCUAGCAGAAGGUCAAAAGGUUGCUUUUGACAUCGAACAAGGUCAAAAAGGCCCACAAGCUGCAAACGUUGUUGCACUUUAAUUCUCUGAAUUAAAGUAGAUAAAAAGCGUGCUUAGCACGCUUUUUUUA
rnacentral:sRNA from 1 species